GACGAACGCUGGCGGCGUGCCUAAUACAUGCAAGUAGAACGCACAGUUUAUACCGUAGCUUGCUACACCAUAAACUGUGAGUUGCGAACGGGUGAGUAACGCGUAGGUAACCUGCCUGGUAGCGGGGGAUAACUAUUGGAAACGAUAGCUAAUACCGCAUAAUAUUGAUUAUUGCAUGAUAAUUGAUGGAAAGAUGCUAUUGCAUCACUACCAGAUGGACCUGCGUUGUAUUAGCUAGUAGGUGAGGUAACGGCUAACCUAGGCGACGAUACAUAGCCGACCUGAGAGGGUGAUCGGCCACACUGGGACUGAGACACGGCCCAGACUCCUACGGGAGGCAGCAGUAGGGAAUCUUCGGCAAUGGACGAAAGUCUGACCGAGCAACGCCGCGUGAGUGAAGAAGGUUUUCGGAUCGUAAAGAUCUGUUGUAAGAGAAGAACGGGUGUGAGAGUGGAAAGUUCACACUGUGACGGUAUCUUACCAGAAAGGGACGGCUAACUACGUG
rnacentral:rRNA from 1 species